UAGCUGGUUCCCUCCGAA
rnacentral:ncRNA from 3 species